UGUCCAGCAGGGCGCACUCAUCGCCCCGGUGGACCGUGAUCUGGGAGGGCAAGGGACAGCAACAACAACAACAGAGCAGGUCCUCCAGGCGUGUGACGGUGAUGGUGCGGUCGCACGUGUACUUCCUCUUCAUCGUCUCCUGGAUCUUCUUCAUCCUCUCCUCCGCCUCCUUGACGUCAGCGAAGAACUGGGAGAGAGAGAGAGAGGGGGAGUGGGCGAGUCAAAGGCCUACCUCCACAGUCUUCUUGGCCGGGUGCCCGUCUCUCAGCAGCUUGUCCCCAGAAGCCUGGACCAGGUUCAUUUUCUUCUCCCUGGACUCCAGCUCUCGCAUCAAACCCUGCGGCAACACACAACCACACGGUUCAGGAAUC
ensembl:lncRNA